AACGAACGCUGGCGGCAGGCUUAACACAUGCAAGUCGAACGCUCGUAGCAAUACGGGGAGUGGCGGACGGGUGAGUAACGCGUGGGAACGUGCCCUGAGGUACGGAAUAACUGCGGGAAACUGCAGCUAAUACCGUAUGAGCCCCGUGAGGGGGAAAGAUUUAUCGCCUUAGGAGCGGCCCGCGUCGGAAUUAGCUAGUUGGUGGGGUAACGGCUUACCAAGGCUUCGAUCCGUAGCUGGUCUGAGAGGACGAUCAGCCACACUGGGACUGAGACACGGCCCAGACUCCUACGGGAGGCAGCAGUGGGGAAUCUUGCGCAAUGGGGGGCAACCCUGACGCAGCCAUGCCGCGUGAAUGGAUGAAGGCCUUAGGGUUGUAAAGUUCUUUUGCCCGUGACGAUGAUGACGGUAACGGGAGAAAUAAGCUCCGGCUAACUUCGUGCCAAG
rnacentral:rRNA from 1 species